rnacentral:rRNA from 1 species
GAUGAACGCUGGCGGUAUGCUUAACACAUGCAAGUCGAACGGACUCUUCGGAGUUAGUGGCGGACGGGUGAGUAACGCGUGAGAAUCUGGCUUUGGGUUCGGGACAACCACUGGAAACGGUGGCUAAUACCGGAUGUGCCGAGAGGUAAAAGAGAAAUUGCCUGAAGAUGAGCUCGCGUCUGAUUAGCUAGUUGGUGAGGUAAAGGCUCACCAAGGCAGCGAUCAGUAGCUGGUCUGAGAGGAUGACCAGCCACACUGGGACUGAGACACGGCCCAGACUCCUACGGGAGGCGGCAGUGGGGAAUUUUCCGCAAUGGGCGAAAGCCUGACGGAGCAAUACCGCGUGAGGGAAGAAGGCUCUUGGGUUGUAAACCUCCUUUCUUAGGGAAGAACAAAAUGACGGUACCUAAGGAAUCAGCAUCGGCUAACUCCGUG